rnacentral:rRNA from 1 species
AUUGAACGCUGGCGGCAUGCCUUACACAUGCAAGUCGAACGGUAACGCGGGGGCAACCCUGGCGACGAGUGGCGAACGGGUGAGUAAUACAUCGGAACGUACCCAGUAGUGGGGAGUAGCUCGGCGAAAGCCGGAUUAACACCGCAUACGACCUAUGGGUGAAAGCGGGGGAUCGCAAGACCUCGCGCUAUUGGAGCGGCCGAUGUCGGAUUAGCUAGUUGGUGAGGUAAAGGCNCACCAAGGCUACGAUCCGUAGCUGGU